rnacentral:rRNA from 1 species
UACGGAGGGUGCAAGCGUUAUCCGGAUUCACUGGGUUUAAAGGGUGCGUAGGAGGGCAGGUAAGUCAGUGGUGAAAUCCCCGAGCUUAACUUGGGAACUGCCGUUGAUACUAUCUGUCUUGAAUAUCGUGGAGGUGAGCGGAAUAUGUCAUGUAGCGGUGAAAUGCUUAGAUAUGACAUAGAACACCAAUUGCGAAGGCAGCUCGCUACACGAAUAUUGACUCUGAGGCACGAAAGCGUGGGGGAGUCAAACAG